rnacentral:rRNA from 1 species
UGGGGAAUUUUGGACAAUGGGCGAAAGCCUGAUCCAGCAAUGCCGCGUGUGUGAAGAAGGCCUUCGGGUUGUAAAGCACUUUUGUCCGGAAAGAAAUCCUUGGCUCUAAUACAGUCGGGGGAUGACGGUACCGGAAGAAUAAGCACCGGCUAACUACGUGCCAGCAGCCGCGGUAAUACGUAGGGUGCAAGCGUUAAUCGGAAUUACUGGGCGUAAAGCGUGCGCAGGCGGUUUGCUAAGACCGAUGUGAAAUCCCCGGGCUCAACCUGGGAACUGCAUUGGUGACUGGCAGGCUAGAGUAUGGCAGAGGGGGGUAGAAUUCCACGUGUAGCAGUGAAAUGCGUAGAGAUGUGGAGGAAUACCGAUGGCGAAGGCAGCCCCCUGGCAAGUACUGACGCUCAUGCACGAAAGCGUGGGGAGCAAACAGGAUUAGAUACCCUGGUAGUCCACGCCCUAAAACGAUGUCAACUAGUUGUUGGGGAUUCAUUUCCUUAGUAACGUAGCUAACGCGUGAAGUUGACCGCUUGGGGAGUACGGUCGCAAGAUU